rfam:Alligator mississippiensis ScZkoYb_13, whole genome shotgun sequence.
UCCCCAACAAUAUCCUGGUGCUGAGCGAGUUGCGCACAGAGACUCCAGCAUCAGUGAUUUUGUUGAGGA